rnacentral:lncRNA from 1 species
CGUAAAGUAUGAGUAUAAGUAGAUAAUUUAUGUAUUUUUUAAAUUAUAUUAAAUAUUUCCAAUAUAUAUAUAUAGGGGUUUGUUAACACGCGUACGCCUGUUUUUCAGUUGGUACGUUUUAACAAUGUGUACCGGAUUAUAAUAGACAAAAAUAUCCUCAUUUAUCAUGGAUUCUAAGUUUUAAGGUAAAGGAUAUUUAAAUAAUUUUCAUUCUCAAAACUAAAAAAAAAAAACGAAACCCCCAAACCCUUA